rnacentral:rRNA from 1 species
GACGAACGCUGGCGGCGUGCUUAACACAUGCAAGUCGAACGGAAAGGCCCUGCUUUUGUGGGGUGCUCGAGUGGCGAACGGGUGAGUAACACGUGAGUAGCCUGCCCUUGACUUUGGGAUGACUUCAGGAAACUGGGGCUAAUACCGGAUAGGAGCCCCUGCUGCAUGGUGGGGGUUGGAAAGUUUCGGCGGUUGGGGAUGGACUCGCGGCUUAUCAGCUUGUUGGUGGGGGAGUGGCUUACCAAGGCUUUGACGGGUAGCCGGCCUGAGAGGGUGACCGGCGACAUGGGGACUGAGGUACGGCCCAGACUCCUACGGGAGGCAGCAGUGGGGAAUAUUGCACAAUGGGCGGAAGCCUGAUGCAGCAACGCCGCGUGCGGGAUGACGGCCUUCGGGUUGUAAACCGCUUCCGCCUGUGACGAAGCGUGAGUGACGGUAAUGGGUAAAGAAGCACCGGCUAACUACGUG